CUCCAGAUAUAAGAAAGAAGGCGUCCAAGUUCCUGAAUUGCCUUUUCAUAGAUUUCCAAAUUGUCCUGAAAUUAGAACUGCGUGGAUUUGGACAAUAAAACGAAAAUCUGGAAGUGAAAGGUUAUAAAGGACGAACGAAACAAACUUCGAGAGCUGGCUAAUAAUGAAACAAAAACGAAGGUUUUGAGCAUUUUCCUCAGUCAGUUUUCUACGUCCAGCUCUCUAUAAUUUU